rnacentral:misc_RNA from 1 species
GAUGAAGAACGCAGCGAAAUGCGAUAAGUAAUGUGAAUUGCGGAAUUCAGUGAAUCAUCGAAUCUUUGAACGCACAUUGCGCCCCCUGGUAUUCCGGGGGGCAUGCCUGUUCGAGCGUCAUUUCACCACUCAAGCCUCGCUUGGUAUUGGGCAUCGCGGUCCGCCGCGCGCCUCAAAUCGACCGGCUGGGUCUUCUGUCCCCUAAGCGUUGUGGAAACUAUUCGCUAAAGGGUGUUCGGGAGGCUACGCCGUAAAACAACCCCAUUUCUAAGGUUGACCUCGGAUCAGGUAGGGAUACCCGCUGAACUUAAGCAUAUCAAUAAGCGGAGGA